rnacentral:lncRNA from 1 species
CAACAGUUUAUGAAGUCACAGUUUAUGAGAUUUGGUGAGAAAUAAUAAUGAAUGCGAGAUCUCAUCUAAACUGGGCAGCUCUCCCCAUAUAGACAGCUCCUUACACUUGUCCUGAAAUAUUCCUUGUUAUAUUACUUAUGGUAUAGAGAAAGGAAAUGCAGUUGACAAAGUAAAGAAAAGUGGAGCAGAAAUUGGCAAACAUAUUGCUGAAAAAAGCAAGGGCUUAUUCAGUGCUGAUGAUUGGCAAUGUGGCAAGUG